UCUAUUUUUCUUCCUAAAUUUAUCACAAAAUAUAAACCUCACUACAUUCUUACGUCCCUCCUCUGUCCAAGAAGGUUGCAACUCAUGUUAAACCUGUGUUCUCAAACAGAAAAUUAAGUUAAAAAAAUAAGAAUAAAAAACAAAAUAUACCGAUAAAUAGUACCUCAUGUUCGUAAAGAUUUCUAAAUUGAGCAAGCCUGCUAAGAAUCAAUACAACCUGCAAAAUAUUUUUAAAAUCUCGUUCAAACUUAAAUCGCAUUAGUACAAUAUCAUUCAAACAUAGCAAACAACAAUUUCUAAUUUUAAUAAUACCUUUGUUAGUGAAAUUUUCUUCAAGCUUGAAAAUACCAAUAUUGAUCCAAUUUCGAGAAGCUGAAUCUUCAAUAUUUUACCUCCAUCUUCAGAUUACAUGGUUGUAAGUUGUAAAUUACAAAAACUCACUCAACCUUUCCAAUCCACAAUCUAUGUACUCAACCUUUCCAAGACAUUAACAAAAUUUUCACUUGACACAACCAUAUAUACACAUAUAAUUAGAUAUCAAUACAUACUCAAAUGGGUGCCCAAGUGAAAAAUUAUGUCUAACCAGAAGUAUAAAAUAAAGUAGAAUAAUUAAUAAUUAAGUACUGUAAAACAAAUACACUAAAUAGAUAUACAUUAAAGAACUCAUUCACAAUCCAUAUCACAAAAAGUUUAAGUUAUAAUUCUUGGUAAUUUAUUCAAUAACCACCAACGAACC
rnacentral:lncRNA from 1 species